AAAUUGAAGAGUUUGAUCAUGGCUCAGAUUGAACGCUGGCGGCAGGCCUAACACAUGCAAGUCGAACGGUAACAGGAAACAGCUUGCUGUUUCCUGACGAGUGGCGGACGGGUGAGUAAUGUCUGGGAAACUGCCUGAUGGAGGGGGAUAACUACUGGAAACGGUAGCUAAUACCGCAUAACGUCGCAAGACCAAAGAGGGGGACCUUCGGGCCUCUUGCCAUCGGAUGUGCCCAGAUGGGAUUAGCUAGUAGGUGGGGUAACGGCUCACC
rnacentral:rRNA from 1 species